GUCCCUCCCUCGGUGACACACUGCAGCCCUGGUUCCAUGAGGGGCUCUUGGGUUCCAUGGUGCACGCCUUUUUCACAUCUGAGCCUUGCUUCCAUGGGUUCCAUGGACUGACAGGGGCCCUCUGCAUUCCAUGGGGCCCAGCUAGAUCACAGCAGAGCCUGGCUUUCAUCAGGUUCUGAUACCUGUUCUGCCAGCUGAGUGGGGUGAUUUAAAGAACACAGAAACCAAUGGGAAGAAUGGUCUUAUUUUACUGUGAGUGUUAAUGCAAUGCAAAGUUAAAUUAUACAUUCAAUAACACUACCUGCUUGGCUUUAGCAACAAGCAAAAAGAAGCAAGGUAAUGCACCUAAUCAUUAUUACAGGAGACAAAGUGUAAUAAAUAGGUGUGAUUCAUGUUGAUACAAUUGAAACAGUAAUCAAUAUUGAUACACUAAUUAAUAUUUUGAAAUAAUAGAACAGUUAAAGGCAUAAUGCCAAGAAAUAAGGGGAGAGGAGGGGUUCCCCCCAGCCCUUCUCCUGCAGAUGUUCAGAACAGGAAGCAAGAGAUAACUAUUACUAAAUUUAGUUGGAAGAUAGGAAAAUUUGGUGGGACAUCAUGAAAAUGCUAAUUAUAUGAGAUUUAUUCCUUUGAUGCUGGAACAUAAUAUUGGCUUAUAUUAUAUUAGCUUUGGCUUACAUUAUACUAUCUUCCUGCGCAUGUGUAUUCCAAAAGGUGAAUCAAAAUACAUCGAGGAAGAGGAGAGGCCUUCAUCAGGGAUGACCUCCAAUGAGUGGUGCGACCACCUAAAAAAUGGUGGCGCAUGCCUGGUAAAGGUGAUGAUGGGAGUGGAGAUACAAGUGUGACAAACCGAAAAUGGGAGGAGAUGCAGCCUCAGCCAGAUCGAUUAAAAUACUGCUCCAAACAACAACAGAAUGAAAAUAUUCCACCGAAUGGGGAAAAAGAAGACAAGUGGCCAGCAGCCCUUUCUGAAGAGCUUGUGUUGAUUUUGCCAAGUCAGAUGCAAACAAGGAGUCAGAGGAAGAGAAUAUGUGUGACCUGCCUGGCUUUAGCGUUGUGCCAGGAGCAAUGCCAUGGGGAAGCUGGUCAGAGGAGCAUCUGAGAAGUGUGUGGUACAUCAGGGAUGUCCUACUACUGAUCUUUGCACAGAGAUGAAAAAGUAUCAGUUUGCAUGGCCUGAAUGUCUGGCUCGGGACAUUCUGCAUUGCACGAGAUGUGCUGAGUUCAUCUGGCUCUGAAAUAUCAUCUCUGCACCUUAGCCAGGAACAGCAUCAGAGUUCUGAACAGAUUCAUCAAAAUCAGUCAUAACCCAGAGGCAAACCUUGGCAAUACACAUCUAUGGCAGGUGAGGAGACCAAAA